rnacentral:rRNA from 1 species
AUUGAACGCUGGCGGCAGGCCUAACACAUGCAAGUCGAGCGGAUGAAGGGAGCUUGCUCCUGGAUUCAGCGGCGGACGGGUGAGUAAUGCCUAGGAAUCUGCCUGGUAGUGGGGGAUAACGUCCGGAAACGGGCGCUAAUACCGCAUACGUCCUGAGGGAGAAAGUGGGGGAUCUUCGGACCUCACGCUAUCAGAUGAGCCUAGGUCGGAUUAGCUAGUUGGUGGGGUAAAGGCCUACCAAGGCGACGAUCCGUAACUGGUCUGAGAGGAUGAUCAGUCAAACUGGAAUUGGGAAACGGUCCAGACUCUUACGGGAGGCAGAAGUGGGGAUUAUGGGCCAAGGGGCGAAAGCUUGACCCAGCCAGGCCGCGUGGGUGAAGAAGGCCUUCGGAUUGUAAGGCACUUUAAGUGGGGAGGAAGGGAAGUAAGUUAAUACCUGGCUGUUUGGCGGUACCAACAGAAUAAGCACCGGCUAACUUCGUG